GACGAACGCUGGCGGCGUGCUUAACACAUGCAAGUCGAACGCUGAAGCUCAGCUUGCUGGGUGGAUGAGUGGCGAACGGGUGAGUAACACGUGAGUAACCUGCCCUCUUCUUUGGGAUAACGCCCGGAAACGGGUGCUAAUACUGGAUAUUCACUGAUUCUCGCAUGGGGGUUGGUGGAAAGGUUUUUUCUGGUGGGGGAUGGGCUCGCGGCCUAUCAGCUUGUUGGUGGGGUGAUGGCCUACCAAGGCUUUGACGGGUAGCCGGCCUGAGAGGGCGACCGGUCACAUUGGGACUGAGAUACGGCCCAGACUCCUACGGGAGGCAGCAGUGGGGAAUAUUGCACAAUGGGCGAAAGCCUGAUGCAGCGACGCCGCGUGAGGGAUGGAGGCCUUCGGGUUGUAAACCUCUUUCGCUCAUGGUCAAGCCGCAGCUUUGGGUUGUGGUGAGGGUAGUGGGUAAAGAAGCGCCGGCUAACUACGUG
rnacentral:rRNA from 1 species